CACUUGGGUUUCUGUCGUGAGUGGCACACAGAGAGGGGCAGCUGUGGCUUUGUCUCUUUCUGUGCGGAAUCGCUACCAAGAGAUUUUGGAAGCAUAAUUUUUAUCCCUGCUUUUAGUGAGCCAGUCUGGCCUUGAGGUU
rnacentral:snRNA from 1 species